UCCGGUUUGUCACCGGCAGUCACCUUAGAGUGCCCAACUGAAUGCUGGCAACUAAGAUCAAGGGUUGCGCUCGUUGCGGGACUUAACCCAACAUCUCACGACACGAGCUGACGACAACCAUGCACCACCUGUCACUCUGUCCCCCGAAGGGGAACGUCCUAUCUCUAGGAGUGGCAGAGGAUGUCAAGACCUGGUAAGGUGGGGAUGACGUAUAGGAGCUCGAC
rnacentral:misc_RNA from 1 species